AAUAGGUGUAUGAUAAAUUAGAUUUUUCUUUCAUAUUUUUAACUUUUUUCCCCUAAAAAAAUUUAAAUCAAACUAAAAAUGUUAAAAAUCAGAAGAAAAAUCUGAUUUGUCAUACUCUUAUU
rnacentral:pre_miRNA from 1 species